rnacentral:SRP_RNA from 11 species
CUGUCACUGUGAACUAGGAGGUGGAGCAGUUGCAGCUCCUGUGCAUGCUUCCCAGACCAUGUGGAGGAUGUGUCCCAUGCAAUCUGGCAGCCUGCAAGGCCUGUGCUCUGCAAAGGGCGCUGAUCUGGCAGGUAGCCUCCCGGGCAUAGGCUCAGGCUGGCAACAGAGCAAGCAAGACUGGGGACUGCCAGCAGUGAUGGGAGAGCACGUCU